rnacentral:rRNA from 1 species
GACGAACCGAGCGAACGUUGUUCGGAAUCACUGGGCUUAAAGGGCGCGUAGGCGGGUGCUCAAGUCCGGGGUGAAAUCCUCCAGCUCAACUGGAGAACUGCCUCGGAUACUGGGUGCCUCGAGGGUGGUAGGGGUAUGCGGAACUAUCGGUGGAGCGGUGAAAUGCGUUGAUAUCGAUAGGAACUCCGGUGGCGAAGGCGGCAUACUGGACCACAUCUGACGCUGAGGC